rnacentral:rRNA from 1 species
GAGUUUGAUCAUGGCUCAGAUUGAACGCUGGCGGCAUGCCUUACACAUGCAAGUCGAACGGCAGCAUGAUCUAGCUUGCUAGAUUGAUGGCGAGUGGCGAACGGGUGAGUAAUACAUCGGAACGUGCCCUGUAGUGGGGGAUAACUAGUCGAAAGAUUAGCUAAUACCGCAUACGACCUGAGGGUGAAAGUGGGGGACCGCAAGGCCUCAUGCUAUAGGAGCGGCCGAUGUCUGAUUAGCUAGUUGGUGGGGUAAAGGCCCACCAAGGCGACGAUCAGUAGCUGGUCUGAGAGGACGAUCAGCCACACUGGGACUGAGACACGGGCCCAGACUCCGUACGGGAGGCAGCAGUGGGGAAUUUUGGACAAUGGGCGAAAGCCUGAUCCAGCAAUGCCGCGUGUGUGAGAAG